rnacentral:rRNA from 1 species
AUUGAACGCUGGCGGCAUGCUUUACACAUGCAAGUCGAACGGUAACAGGCCGCAAGGUGCUGACGAGUGGCGAACGGGUGAGUAAUGCAUCGGAACGUGCCCAGUCGUGGGGGAUAACGCAGCGAAAGCUGCGCUAAUACCGCAUACGAUCUAUGGAUGAAAGCGGGGGACCGUAAGGCCUCGCGCGAUUGGAGCGGCCGAUGUCUGAUUAGGUAGUUGGUGGGGUAGAGGCGCACCAAGCCAACGAUCUGUAGCUGGUCUGAGAGGACUACCAGCCACACUGGGACUGAGACACGGCCCAGACUCCUACGGGAGGCAGCAGUGGGGAAUUUUGGACAAUGGGCGCAGGCCUGAUCCAGCAAUGCCGCGUGCAGGAAGAAGGCCUUCGGGUUGUAAACUGCUUUUGUACGGAACGAAACGGUCCUGGUUAAUACCUGGGGCUAAUGACGAUACCGUAAGAAUAAGCACCGGCUAACUACGUGCCAGCCGCCGCAGUAAUAC